rnacentral:rRNA from 1 species
UGAUACUAAGCCAUGCGAGUCUUUGUAGUAAUACAAGGCAGACGGCUCAGUAACACGUAGUCAACCUACCCUAUGGACGAGAAUAAUCUCGGGAAACUGAGCAUAAUUCUUGAUAGAUCAUAAUGCCUGGAAUGGUUUAUGGUUAAAAUGAUUCGUCGCCAUAGGAUGGGACUGCGGCCUAUCAGCUUGUUGGUGAGGUAAUGGCCCACCAAGGCGAUUACAGGUACGGGCUCUGAGAGGAGAAGCCCGGAGAUGGGUACUGAGACACGGACCCAGGCCCUAUGGGGCGCAGCAGGCGAGAAAACUUUGCAAUGUGCGAAAGCACGACAAGGUUAAUCCGAGUGAUUUCUGCUAAAGAAAUCUUUUGCCAGUCGUAAAACCGCUGGUGAAUAAGGGGUGGGCAAGUUCUGGUGUCAGCCGCCGCGGUAAAACCAGCACCUCAAGUGGUCAGGAUGAUUAUUGGGCCUAAAGCAUCCGUAGCCGGCUUUGUAAGUUUUCGGUUAAAUCCAUGUGCUCAACGCAUGGGCUGCCGAAAAUACUGCAUAGCUAGGGAGUGGAAGAGGUAGACGGUACUCAGUAGGUAGGGGUAAAAUCCUUUGAUCUAUUGAUGACCACCUGUGGCGAAGGCGGUCUACCAGAACACGUUCGACGGUGAGGGAUGAAAGCUGGGGGAGCAAACCGGAUUAGAUACCCGGGUAGUCCCAGCUGUAAACGAUGCAGACUCGAUGAUGCAUUGGCAUAAUAGCCAUUGCAGUGUCCC